UAAGUAUAUGAGUAAGCGGAGGAAAAGAAACUAACAAGGAUUCCCCCAGUAACGGCGAGUGAAGCGGGAAGAGCUCAGGUUGAAAAUCCGGCCCUCGGGCCAGAAUUGUAGUCUGAAGAGGCGGUGCCUCCCGCCGGCCGCGGCAAAGUCUGAUUGGAAAUGAGCAUCAUGGAGGGUGAUAGUCCCGUUCGUGCCGCGGUUGUCGUGCGGAUUGAUGGCCCGUUUUCGACGAGUCGAGUUGCUUGGGAUUGCAGCUCUAAGUGGGUGGUAAACUCCAUCUAAAGCUAAACACGCGGGGGAGACCGAUAGCGAACAAGUACCGUGAGGGAAAGAUGCAAAGAACUUUGAAAAGAGAGUUAAAGAGUGCCUGAAAUCGCUGGGAGGGAAGCGAGGGAAAGCAGUGUCUGGCGGUCAAUCGCUCCCCCUUUGCCCUUCGGGGCUUGGGCUGCGCUCCGCUGUUGCCAGGGUCGGGUGGGGCCCGCGGGAUACACGCCACCGGGUAAYGUGGCCCUUGCGCCCUCGGGUGCUCGGGUGAAUACCGGUGUCUGCAGCRACCGUGGCCCCGGCCGGUCUUGACAAAAUGCUUUUCCUCACCCCGUCUUGA
rnacentral:rRNA from 1 species